rnacentral:misc_RNA from 1 species
CACGUGAAGAGAGAGUUGACGCAGGUAUACUUCUUCUAGUGAUGUUUUUAAACCUCUAUUUGGAUUUCAAGCAUAUAUGUAAUUUGAUUUCGGAACCCUUUAUGAUGACACUAGUUUCAUCUGCCAUUCUGUACCUUUUCUGUUUUUAUGUCAAUUUUUUUUCGUCAGGCCGUUCCUUUUCACCUUAAAAUGAGAUCCUUUGACUCUUGUUAGUUGUUAUAGUUUAGAGGUGCCUAUAAUUUUAUUAUAUUUUCUUUAAUAAUUUUCACAUUCUCAGACUACAUGUUUGCUGUUUGCUGUCAUCUGAAUUGAUCUCUCAGUACACUUGCAUUUUAUGAUUUUGACAAUGUUUGAACAGAAAGGGUAAAACUGUGAAAAUUUGUAACUUUUUUACAUGCAAGCUAAGCUGCAAGUUGCAAAAACUUAUUGGGGGUAUGAUUCAAAUUUCUUGAAUUUGAUGCUAUUAAUCUUGAUCAGAGAACUUAAGCUUUCAAGUGGUAUUGGUGUUAUUUUUUAUGGAAGAGAUUAAGUUUAAUUUGUGGCCUGUGAGCAUAAAUUUGUAUUCUCUUGCUGAAAAAAUUGCAGAUGACCUACGAAUGGCUGUG